GAUAAGCUGAGACUCCUCAGGAUGUGGUUCUGCAGCAGAUGAGGUGCGAAGAAAGCCUGCUCUGCCGUGGGCACCCAGGAUGGCACUGAGUUCUAAAAGGCAAAGGGUAUGUGGUGAGGAGCCAGGCUGAGGCCCUGGUGUGGUACCAUCAUGGGCAGCAGCACCAUUUGAGGCCAGGUAGGAGAGACGUGCAGGGCCUGGCCCCCCAAGAGACCAGCAGACAAACUGAGGCGGCACAGAGAGAGAUUCCAGUGUCACCAGGAAGACUGCAGAUCAUAACAACAAUGGCUGCUGAUUUGGCAUCAAAGAGGUGGCAUUGUCAAAGCCAUAACUGCUGAAAAUGGCACCAACAUGCUGCAGCUGGAGAGAGUGGGUGACCAACAUUUGUUUGAAGAACAGAUGAUGCUCUUUGAAUGGCUCAGCCAACAGUCCAAAGUUUUAAGGGAAGACCUCUCUGCCAGCUUCUCUUGGACAAUGUCUCAUGUAAAACCUCCGAGGCACUUACAUAGCAUAUUUUUGUGUCCACUCUCUUGCUAGUCUGUUGUACCUGGAAUAAAAAAGCAGAGGGAGUGACACCCUCACUUGAAAUGGUCACUUCCCUUCAAUGUGGUGCAGAGAACAGGACUGAUGUGGGGAAUGCUGCUGCUGCUGCUUGUCAAACGUCUACGGCUGAUGGGUGAGUGGAAUAAAGGCUUUUCCCGGAGCAGAAGCACAUCAGACAUGGCUGUAAACCCCCAGCUGGGUGAACCCCUCAUGUGUAAACCCCAAACUGUUGAUUCUCCAUAACUAUCUGCUGUGGAAGAUUUAAUAAUGCAAAACUUCCUCCCUUUCUUUCUCCUGUCCUACAAUAUGGAUGCAGGGAGGACAGAGAAGAGACACACAAAGGUCAGUUUGUACUAGUUACAGGCCGUCCAGCACACAAACUCCAGAACAAGGGCUUGGGAAUCUGCCUACCGGGGUGUGCAUCAAUACAAUCCUCAGCAGCUGUUCUGCCCCUCUGUGCCCUGGCUUUUUUGAUUGCUUGCCAUGGGGAAAGUAUCUGCCUUGUGUGCUUGUGGGGAAACUAGAGAAGUCUGUAUGUAAAGCACAUGGAGCAGGCCAGGCAUCCAUUGAAGACUAUGCAGGUGUGUGCACUUACUCUCAUCAUUGUAAUGAGACCUGAUGCUAUGAGACUAUAAAUUAGAGAGAUUUAUAGUUACAAGAGGCACUAAAAAAAAAAUCACUUUUGGUAUGUCUAAAAUAUCUCGUAAAAAGUGUUAAAAUAAACAAAAGUUAAACCCAGUCAAUUAAAAA
rnacentral:sRNA from 1 species